GCUGAGAGGACGUACGAAAAUCGGGCUUCGCGAAUUUCAAGUGCCGGUUCCUCUAACUCUUGGGUACUGCGUACCAGGUUCUCUACCUGGUGAAUUUCGACUUCCAGGACUCGCGCUCCGUAGUUCCUGGGCUCCAGGUCGUCCACCCGGCAUUACCUGUAAAACUAUCCUGAUCAUCACCGUCACCAUCACCGUGCGAACUUCCGUGACCACCAAAGUGACUACUUAAGUGACUACUGAGAUGACCACCAAGUGAGCCAUGAUGACCACCCCACAACCCGUGACCACUAAAUAAGCCGUGAUUCCCAACCAGGAGGUCGGUAAAGGCAUUCAGACCAAGUGGAUCUUUAUGUUGUAACCUCUGUUCUUGACGGUGAGCAUGGAUCCGAUCCCGUUUCUCCUUGCGACGUUUUUGAAUAUCGGCAGAGGCAUCCGCUGGUCGUCGCUGGGACAGUGUGUUCCGGUUCUUUAUGAGGUUACUUAUCGCCUCCAAUGUUGCAACUGGUAUCUAGGUGCGGAAAAUAGGCUAUAUCUGAACGAUUGUGACUUGGGGUACGAAAAAAAGUCUGGUGAAGAAAAUGGAGCAUUCCAGGUGUAUGCAUGCAGAAGACGUUGUUCUUCCGCAAGUUUUACGAGUACUACAUCCAGAGAAUCCUCUGACUGAGACGCGGCGUGUGCAAAUAAAACUGUUUUGUCAGGUAAGAAAUAAUUAUUCAGUGGUUUGAAGCUUAUAUGGAGUCACGCGCUUUAAAUUCGUAGUCUGGCAACGUAUUUUUCGAAACAAGCAUGCAUAACGUUGUGUUAAAAUCUGUAUAGAUUGGGUUGACAAGUGAGAUCGUUAUGUUCUUGCUUUGGUCUACCAAAAACUGAACGAACUUGUUAGGAAAGCCAAUACUCGUUCGGUUUUUGCUUCGCUCUGUCACAGCAAAAAAGGAAACGAACUUAUUUGCCAAUCCAACACUAUAGUUCUUUCCAAUUGCUGUUUGGUGAACCUGGACCUGUGUUAUUACAUGGUUCCUAGGACUUUUUUUUUGAUACUUCCAUUCAGCGCUGCAUGUAAAUUUACGUUGACUGCAGUAUUUUUACAUCAGUCAUACGUAGACUUUGAAAGUCAAACGGUCAAAUUAAGUGACUUUUAACGCAAUUGGUAAGGACUGACUGUAGCAUUCUUUCAAGAUACGCUAGGUGGGCACAGAAGUCGGUGUACGAAGUUCGGGAUGUGUUACAUCGAUGAGAACACUUUGAGCGGCAAAACUUGAUACUAUCUGACCGGUUACAGAAAUCGGGGCCACUUUUUACUGACAGGUGCGCUUUGAGUUGAGACUCGUGUUUCAUCCUCCCUGGCUUCAAUAAGUUGUUACAUACACUUAGCUCAUUUCAAAGAUGGUCGAAUAUCAUAUGCAUUACAACAAGUGAAUAUAUACGGUAUUCCACAUGUAAUCAACCAGACCGAAACCCUCAUCCUUCCAGAACCGGUUAAAAAUUUGUAAAAUGUUUUCGUUCAUUGAGGAAAGUAUGCGGGAUUUUUGUAGAUUUUUGUCUGAAGAUGUUCAGACGUCAGCAAUCUACAAAACAUAUUUAAGACUCAAUAACGUUCGACUUUCGACUUAGUAAUUCUUAAAAUCUGUAGAUCACAGAAAAAAAUUUUUGGAAUAAAAGGCUUUCAGUUUGAGAUUAACUUCGAACGUAUAUCACGCAAAAAUGCCUAGCAGCCCCUGAGAGUUGAUGAAAAAUUAAAAAUACUAUAACUUUUCAUAUUUAUCGAAAACUACACGUUUCUUCCUGACAAUUAUAGAGAAUAUUUCUUUGGUAGUGGAAGAAAGCUUGUGUGAAUUUUAUUAUGGGACGCAAUUUAGUUCACAAGGCCACUCUUUCUUAAAAAUCAUUCAACACAUAAGGAUCACUCUGCGAACUCACAGAAAAUAAACUGCAUAAUCAAAAAUUUUGCAACGACUUACAAAGCCGGCCUGAUAGUUAUUUUUUCACGUUUAAAUUAUUAUUAUUAUCAUUUGUUGUUUAA